UAAAAUAUGGAUAUUCUGACUGUGAGCCAUAAUUAGGCAUAACUCUGGCUGAACUAUAAUUCUGUCCUAGGUGUCUACAGGAUGUAUGCCUGGAAUCAAAAGGAGAAAUCUUAUGAUAGAAAGUGAACGUUCUCAUUUCCAGGAAGAUCAGGAAAAGGAAUAAAGGGAAAAUCUCAACUCAUUUAGAAGACAGAAGGUUCUUUCCAGAAAAAAUAAAUUGCACCUUUAGUGCAUAUUUCAUUUCCUUGAUAUGAAUUUCUGUGUUCAACCCGGUUAGGAUGUGUUUGACUUCUCUCUCUUGAUUUAUGUCACUUUCUUUUUCCUUUUCUGCACAGGCCUCUUGCCUUCCAGCCUUUCCCAUUCAUUUGAGGAUAUGAAGGUUUGAUGCAGGUGAAUUGGUCUCCCUGAAGACAAAGAGUUUGACAUAGAUUGCAGAAACUUUCCUAUAAAGUUGUAUAUCUGAUGAAGAGUUGUUAAAAGGAAUAGCUGCCUAAAGCAUCUCAUUUCACAUUACCCGGAAAGGGAGUUUUUGGCAGAAACCAUCAUUCUGAAUAGGUGAAAAUACAUUGCCCAGCACAUCUACCAAUGACACAUUAUAGACAUUACUCCCAUGAAUAAUUGAAAUUAUUUCCCACAGAGUUCACUUUAUUAGUAUUCAUUUGAGCAACACGAUAAUAAAUUCG
rnacentral:lncRNA from 1 species